CGGGGUAUAGCUCACUUGAGAGAGCACAUGCUUUGCAAGCAGGGGGUCAAGGGUUCGAAUCCCUUUAUCUCCACCA
rnacentral:tRNA from 1 species